rnacentral:lncRNA from 10 species
UCUCUCUCUCGUUUUUCUCUUCCUUUCUCUUUCUCUCUCACCCUCUCUGUGCAACUCUCUUGGUCAUUCUCCUCUCUCUGUGCAACUCUUUCCUAUCCAGUAUUUUGCUCUGCAAAUUCCAUCCACCUUUGCCUCUGAAUUCUCAACUCCGUCUCCUCAGCGCAGGAAGACCUUCAGACUCCCAGCACGGUGGCCAGGAAACACUCUGCAAGCAACUCACUUAGAAGAUAUCCUGCAAGCCCUGUAAGCAGAGGAUCUCUUCCAAAUUCUCGUUAUGUCUCUUCAUAGCGAAAAUUGAUGUUAAAAUUAUAUCGUCCUACAUAUCAAAUUUUUGUGAAGAGAAAUGAGCCAAAAAAAGAAAAAAAAAAGAAUUUCCAGAACAGCGAUUGUGGAAGUCUGUUAACCACAUUUGGGAUCGAAACAGUGGUGAUAUGUAUAUUUAUAUGUAUACGAAAACCUACAUACUUUGUUUGGAGUGG